GAUUAAUAGCAAGAUUGAUUUUGACUUUUCAAUUUAGGUUUUGCGAAGAAGUGAAAUGGAAAUUAAGGACAAAUUAUCUCAUAUUUUGAGGCGCUUGUGUCGCGUCCCGGGGUUGGAAUGAAUGUGAUCACGAUGGAGAGCCGGCCGCCGGACACCGCGACGGACGCGCGAUAACAACGAUCGACGAUUAUCGACGGAUCUGCGCACGCACAUGUUCACCGCUCGCCUUAAUGAGACAAUCAAUGGUUUUGACACUGCAUGCACCAUAAUGCUAUUUGACGAAAUUUUGUACGUUUCUGUCAACAGCGCGGCCGGUUACAAUGUAAUUUUAAACACUGCAACCAAGUAACCGAGUUUGUUUUGUUAACGGUUUGCAGUAAAGCUGAUAAAAACGUAGAAAAUAUCAAUUAACAAUGCAGUUUAUUCAGUGUUAUUGAGACGGGGAUCAUUCGUUUCAUUUUGUUAUCGGUUGUUUGCCCCGAACUACAGUUCUUUUACCUAGGGUUAUUAAUGCGACUUUGUAAGUGAGAAUGUAUUCUGUAACUGGAGAAAAAAAUGUAGGACUGAAUGGUUUCACAAAAAUAGUUGUAUAGUGAAAUUCUAAUACAAUAAUCUAGAAAAACCAGA